rnacentral:rRNA from 1 species
UGGCUCACCAUUAACGCUAGCGACAGGCUUAACACAUGCAAGUCGAGGGGCAGCGGGGGUGAUGGCUUGCCAUCGCCUGCCGGCGACCGGCGCACGGGUGAGUAACACGUAUGCAACCUGCCCGCCACAGGGGGAUAAGCGGAAGAAAUUCCGUCUAAUACCGCGUGACGCGGCGCCGGGGCAUCCCGGUGCCGCCAAAGGGAUUACCGGUGGCGGAUGGGCAUGCGGCGCAUUAGCUAGUCGGCGGGGUAACGGCCCACCGAGGCGACGAUGCGUAGGGGUUCUGAGAGGAAGGUCCCCCACACUGGUACUGAGACACGGACCAGACUCCUACGGGAGGCAGCAGUGAGGAAUAUUGGUCAAUGGGCGCGAGCCUGAACCAGCCAAGUCGCGUGAGGGAUGACGGUCCUACGGAUUGUAAACCUCUUUUGCCGGGGAGCAAGCGUGCGUUCGUGAACGCGCGUCGAGAGUACCCGGAGAAAAAGCAUCGGCUAACUCCGUGCCAGCAGCCGCGGUAAUACGGAGGAUGCGAGCGUUAUCCGGAUUUAUUGGGUUUAAAGGGUGCGUAGGCGGGAUGCCAAGUCAGCGGUAAAAAUGCGGUGCUCAACGCCGUCGAGCCGUUGAAACUGGCGUUCUUGAGUGGGCGAGAAGUAUGCGGAAUGCGUGGUGUAGCGGUGAAAUGCAUAGAUAUCACGCAGAACUCCGAUUGCGAAGGCAGCAUACCGGCGCCCUACUGACGCUGAGGCACGAAAGCGUGGGUAUCGAACAGGAUUAGAUACCCUGGUAGUCCACGCAGUAAACGAUGAAUGCUAGCUGUCCGGCUCGAAUGAGCGCUGGGCGGUACAGCGAAAGCGUUAAGCAUUCCACCUGGGGAGUACGCCGGCAACGGUGAAACUCAAAGGAAUUGACGGGGGCCCGCACAAGCGGAGGAACAUGUGGUUUAAUUCGAUGAUACGCGAGGAACCUUACCCGGGCUCAAACGCAGGAUGACGGGUCCCGAAAGGGGUCUUUCUUCGGACAUUCUGCGAGGUGCUGCAUGGUUGUCGUCAGCUCGUGCCGUGAGGUGUCGGCUUAAGUGCCAUAACGAGCGCAACCCCUGUCCACAGUUGCCAGCAGGUAAAGCUGGGGACUCUGUGGAGACUGCCGGCGCAAGCUGCGAGGAAGGCGGGGAUGACGUCAAAUCAGCACGGCCCUUACGUCCGGGGCGACACACGUGUUACAAUGGCAGGUACAGCGGGAUGCCACGGGGCGACCCGGCGCUGAACCCGAAAACCUGUCUCAGUUCGGAUUGGAGUCUGCAACCCGACUCCAUGAAGCUGGAUUCGCUAGUAAUCGCGCAUCAGCCACGGCGCGGUGAAUACGUUCCCGGGCCUUGUACACACCGCCCGUCAAGCCAUGGAAGCCGGGGGUACCUGAGUGCGUGACCGCGAGGAGCGCCCUAGGGUAAAACCGGUGACUGGGGCUAAGUCGUAACAAGGUAGCC